rfam:Gossypium hirsutum cultivar TM-1 chromosome 23, whole genome shotgun sequence
AACCCAUGGUGAGGGCACCUUCUUAAUAAGUCCUUAUACCUCUCUCAUGCAUCAUAAAGAGUUUCUAGAUCCAUCUGUACGAAAUAAGAUAUAUUAUUCCUUAAUUU